CAUAAAAGUAUUUCGUUAUGAUUUCAAAAGCCCCUUAGAUCUAACCAUCGUAAGAUUGUAUCGCCAUCUUGUGGACAUUGAGCGUCCUGUGAACCAAGUUACUUUUUAGAAGGCGCAUGAUGGGCACACAUCCACCCAACAGAAAGACGGGGGACCAACUAGAUCAACAACUUGUAUAAGGAAGAUAAGGAAGGUGAUUCCCUUUACUACUAUGGAUCAAGACAAAAUAAUGAAUGUUGAAAAGUGUUGCUGUUCAUGGUGUCGCCUUAGCCCUGGCCUUUGAUCACUGGGCUCUUCCUCCAAGCCACCUGGACAGUUGUGUCAGAGCUGAGGUCACAGAUAAAACAGUGGAGCGCCUGAACAGGAGGUUUUGACAUUUGACAUCCCUGUCAACUCAGGACAGAGUGGCUUUCAUCAACUGCAGCUUGGCAGGACGGACACAUGGAGCAGAGAUACAGGGAUCUCUCCUUCACAACUUCUGCCUCUCUCCUUUACUCCAUCUCCCCCUCUCUCCCUCCCUCUCUCUCCCUCACUCUCUCCAUGCCUUCCUAUCCCCCUUCCUACAGACGGUGACACUUUUUCUAGGUCAUUCCCAGUUGUCAUCGCUGGCUAAGAGAGAUGGGAAAGGCUAGGGUUAGUGUAAGGGUUAAGGUUAAGGGUUUGGUUAAGGUUAGGGUAAAGUAAGGGUCAGUUUUAGAUUUUGAUUCGUCGUUUUCCAGAUCAGCAGUGGCCUGAUAUAGUCUCCCAAGAGAGACACACCAAUGACUACAGCUGUUCCUUUAGCGGACUCUUACUUUAGUUAUUAAAAAAUAAAACACCAUAACCCAUUCCAAACUAAUACAGAUGUAGGAUCUUAAUGUGAUCCCCCUGUUGCAGGAGAACUUUACUGCAAGGCAGGACAUUUAAAACAUGUUAUGUCUUUGAGGUUUGAAAAGACUUCUGAAGUGUGUUUUUCCACUUUGAAAUUUCAGACUUGAUUUUCCCUUUUGAAAAAUUAUGAAACACAUAAUAAUUCACAUCUCCUGUUGCUGCAUAAUUAUUUUCCUGCUGUAGCAAAGUGGCUUAAAUUAGGAUCCUACAUCUGUACACGUUAACUCUAUAAAAAAAAUCAAUGAAUUGCUGUUUAACAUCCUGUAAGGUUCAAAGCCUUUUCUUUUUCAUGUAAAAAAAAAUGAACUUGGGUGCCCAAGAGAGUAAAGGCAAAUAGUGGCUCCUGUGUCACUCUGUACACAUGGUUUACCCGGGGUGUUCUCGGUUUGCUUGGCAACCACCGGACUGAUCAUAUCUUGUGGCUCUUGUGCAUAACUGAAUAGUAUCCAAGUCUGCUGAGGGUCAAUUCAAAUUGCAUAUGUUGUGGGUUUAUACGCACAAAGAGUUCACUUGCUUGAAACGGAAGGUAGUCAAUUGAGUGAAUCGUUAAGCCAAAGACAAACAUUGAGAGAUAAUGUUUCAUUAAUAAAUAGAUCUUUGAAAUCUUUCCCAGAAUGACUUGUCAAAUAUACCUUGUUGUUGGGCUGCUUAAGCUAACCCACCUACAAUGUGUUUCUUUAUUGUCUACGAUACUGUACUGAGGUUUGCUGGCAAAUAUUGACUUUGUUGAACUAAGAUCAAACUUUGCUAUGAGGAAAUGUUUCAUCUUGUCAGGGCCGGCUCCAGGCAUAAGCGACAUAAGCGGUCGCUUAGGGGCCCCGGCCACUAGGAGGCCCCCUACCAUAAAUUAAAUGAAAAAUACAUGUUCAGGAACGCAGUCGGGGUCUCAAUUUACUGUUGAGAGUUAGAAUAGUAGAAUACACAUGGUGAAAUUUAGGAAUGUGGUUGUGGUUCAGCAGUUUCUGUAUUUUAUGUCUGUCACUCAAUUAGCCAUGUGAGCUAAACAUUUUAAGAUUGGUAAGUUAUUCAAGCCAGCUACCGACCGGGCACGCAGGACAUGUGCCGAAGGGCCUGACCUGCAGGGGGCCUCUAUUGAUUUUGUUUGUCACUCACUCAGAUAUCAUUCACAUGCAUAAGGCAUAAGUCUUGGUAAAAUGUGCAGAAUUGCAGGAAAUUACCUUUAAAACUGAGAAGAAAAAAAAUCUCUGGACAUCACUUUGCAAGGACUGUGUUUGUGCAAAAUAUUUCUGUGAAAAAACAUUGUGGCCAGCUCAAACGCUGACUGUUGCAUCAUCAAAACUGGACGUUCAAAAUAAGUGUUCUAAUCACAUCGGUUUGAGCUUAUGGUGCAGGGACCACUGUCGAAUUAUCACACCCGUUUGUUGGUAUAUGUCAAAGAGUUAAAAUAAAUUUCCUGCAAUGGGCCUCUGUACGCCUAUGUAGAUAUUCAAUAAAAAAUCAGCCGUUUCCAGCUACAAUAGUCAUUUACAACAUUAACAAAGUCUACACUGUAUUUCUGAUCAAUUUUAUGUUAUUUUAACAGACAAAAAUGUGCUUUUCUUUCAAAAGCAAGGACAUUUCUAAGUGACACCAAACUUUUGAAUGGUAGUGUAUAUGCAUACAUACA
rnacentral:lncRNA from 13 species